CUGGAUUUUUUUUUUCCUGGUUCGAGGUGGUUGAGAGAGACUCCAGGCUGUAUGUGUUCUGCUGGACAAACAUGCUCCAGGAUUUGAUCCUCGGCUCCCAUGCAAAUUGGAUUAUGGCAGCACUUCUCAAGGUACUGUCAUGAGCUUUUCCAUGCACUCAAGUCCUGAGGCAAAACCCACUGAAGACUUCCUGACAUCAAUGGGCUUUGGAUCUAAUCCACAGACAGCUAGUUUCUUUUGGAAAACGUUGAGUGAAAUUGCAAUUAUUUUUUUGAUCUAGUGUAUGCUGAAUUUGUCUACUUGGGCUGUGAAAGACUUCCUCACUCCUAUAUAGGAGCUAGAAGCAGGCACUGAGACCAUCAGUGGUGACAAGGUGGGUGCCUAUGCGGUAAGCAACAGUGCGUUUAUAUCUUGGACUCAGCUGAAUGAACACGCUAAACGACAUUCUUCACUGCUGUAAAUGCAAUGCAGUUCCCACUGAUGCUGAAGGAAACCACACCACCUGGGGACCCAAGGUCAGAAUUAUCUGAAAUCCUCUAGGGCACAAAAUUAGGAUGUGACCCAGCUCUUCCGUUAUGAUAUGAGAAUAAUUCAGGAAGUUUUCACUGUGAAACGUUGGACUUGGAAAUCUUAACAUUCUUUUUAUUGUGCUUGUGUGCAAGUUUGAAAAAUGACCACUUUUUAUUUUAGGGGAAAAGCAUUGCUGGGGGUGGAGUAUGCAUUAUAUCAAGUCCAGCUCUAAUCCUAGGUUUGAAAUAAUAUUGGGGUAAGAUUUGUGUGUAAUUAUAUUCAAAGUUAAUACACUAUUCCAUCAAGUUUACUCUGGCUUAGCUGAGAAAUCUAGGCCUCAGUCUACUAAUGCUGAUGUAAACUAGAAUAGCUCCACUGAUUUACACCUAAUAAGAACCUGGUUCUGUAUCUCAUUGUUGACUUUGCUGAGGUUUCUUUCCCCCUCCCAAAAGACAAAAUUCUUGUUUGUUUGGAGGGUUUUCUUUAACCUCUUGGCUGAGUGAUACAUUUCUGUUUAUCAGCCACCUGCAUCCCCUCAAUGCAUUCUGAGGCAAAAAUCAAGGAAUACGAAAGUCCAAUUUUAAAUUCAAUCAGUUCCCAAGUUGUUUGAUGCAAUGGUUUCCAUUUCAGCAGCUGCUUCUGUC
rnacentral:lncRNA from 1 species